rnacentral:rRNA from 1 species
AUGUUGCCAGCACGUGACGGUGGGGGACUCGUAAGAGACUGCCGGGGUCAACUCGGAGGAAGGUGGGGACGACGGUCAAGUCAUCAUGCCCCUUAUGUCCCAGGGCUUCACACAUGCUACAAUGGCCAGUACAGAGGGCUGCGAGACCGUGAGGUGGAGCGAAUCCCUUAAAGCUGGUCUCAGUUCGGAUCGGGGUCUGCAACUCGACCCCGUGAAGUCGGAGUCGCUAGUAAUCGCAGAUCAGCAACGCUGCGGUGAAUACGGUUCCCGGGCCUU